UACGUAGGGGGCUAGCGUUGUCCGGAUUUAUUGGGCGUAAAGAGCGUGUAGGCGGCCAGGUAGGUCUGCUGUGAAAACUCGAGGCUCAACCUCGAGAUGUCGGCGGAAACCGUCUGGCUAGAGUCCGGAAGAGGAGAGUGGAAUUCCUGGUGUAGCGGUGAAAUGCGCAGAUAUCAGGAAGAACACCUAUGGCGAAGGCAGCUCUCUGGGACGGUACUGACGCUGAGACGCGAAAGCGUGGGGAGCGAACAGG
rnacentral:rRNA from 1 species